rnacentral:lncRNA from 1 species
GUCAAAAGUCUAGAAUUUUAAAUAAAUGAAUCAUACACUAAAUAUGCAUCAUCUUUUGAAACUCAGUGCCUAUGAGUAAAUCUCGAUGAUCAUAACACAUUACUCAACAAAGCAGACCAUAAUAAAGAAGAUAUCAGAACACAUGGAGCAAAAGACAGUAAGUUUGGGACUCAACCAUUCAACUAAUCUUUAAUGAAUACACACCAGAUGCCAAGCUCCAACUCAGGUCCUGGGACACAGCAAGAAGAAGACACAAAAGAUCCCUGUUCUCGUGAAGCUUAUGUUCUAGGAGGGUGAGACAGAAAAUAAGUACAUGAGAAAAGUACAAGCUAGUGAAUUGAACAGUGCAAAAAAUUAGCAUAGGGUAGGAGGGAAAUACUUGAGAUGGGCAGGUCAUCUAGGAAGGUCACUCUGGAGAGGUGCCAUUUAAGCUGAGAUCUGAAUGAUGUCCAGGAGCCAGUCAGCAGCAUUCCAGGACAAGAGAGCAGCUGUCGCCAAGACCCCAAGACACAAAGGAACAAGCUUCUGGGUCGAGAAAGGCCAAGUUGCACACUACUGAGAGACUGCCAUGCACCCCCUGGAGGCCUCAGAACAUUCGACAUGCUUCAGUCAUGGCCACGGCAGUGACUGCUGAUUGCCUAACCCCACAUGUGUUCUCCCCCUUCCCUGAUAAUCAAGCCCCUGAUUUUCAGCUGGGCACAAAAUAAUUCUUCCUAGAACAACUCCAUGUGUGUUAUCGCCCUUGCAGCUGGGGGUGGCCACCACUGGGGAGAGGCAGGGUGAAGAGGUGGAAGGAGCCUGAGUUAGCAGGGAUGAGCAGUGGCCAGGUAACCCCAGACCCACUAUCCUCUGGAUUUCUUUUAUGUGAA